GACGAACGCUGGCGGCGUGCUUAACACAUGCAAGUCGAACGGAAAGGCCCUUCUUUUGUGGUGUGCUCGAGUGGCGAACGUGUGAGUAACACGUGAGUAACCUGCCCUUGACUUUGGUAUCACUUCAGGAAACUGGGGCUUAUACCGGAUAGGAUCUCCUUCUGCAUGGUGGGGUUUGGAAAGUUUCGGCGGUUGGGUAUGGACUCGCGGCUUCUCCGCUUGUUGGUGGGGGAGUGGUUUACCAAGGCUUUGGCGGGUCGCCGGCCUGAGAGGGUGACGGGCCAAAUGGGGACUGAGAUACGGCCCAGACUCCUACGGGAGGAAGAAGUGGGGAAAAUUGAAAAAUGGGCGGAGGCCGGAUGCAGAAACGCGGCGUGCGGGAUGACGGCCUUCGGGUGUUAAACCGCUUUGGCCUGGGACGAAGCGUGAGUGACGGUAAUGGGUAAAGAAGCACCGGCUAACUACGUG
rnacentral:rRNA from 1 species